rnacentral:rRNA from 1 species
GAUGAACGCUGGCGGCGUGCCUAAUACAUGCAAGUCGAACGAGGUGCUUGAGUAGCAAUACAAGAGUAUCCUAGUGGCGAACGGGUGAGUAACGCGUGGAUGACCUGCCCCAAAGUGUGGGAUAACAGUCCGAAAGGAUUGCUAAUACCUCAUGUGGUUAUCGGGUUUAGAAAUCGAUAACUAAAGUGGCGCUUUGCGUCACGCUUUGGGAGGGAUCUGCGUCCCAUCAGCUAGUUGGUGAGGUAACGGCUCACCAAGGCGACGACGGGUAGGGGACCUGAGAGGGUGGCCCCCCACAAUGGAACUGAAACACGGUCCAUACACCUACGGGUGGCAGCAGUAGGGAAUAUUGCUCAAUGGGCGAAAGCCUGAAGCAGCAACGCCGCGUGCGCGAUGAAGGCCUUCGGGUCGUAAAGCGCUUUUCUACGAGAUGAGAAAGGACAGUAUCGUAGGAAUAAGUCUCGGCUAACUACGUG